GCCGGCGUGGCGGAACUGGCAGACGCGCGGGACUCAAAAUCCUGUGCCCCCAAAGGGCGUGUGGGUUCGAUUCCCUCCGCCGGCACCA
rnacentral:tRNA from 1 species